CUUUUUUCAUUUUUUUUAAAUGCCUCUUCCAUGGUUACACAGCUGGGGGCAGGGUGCUCGAGCCAUAUUCUGUGGAGGGCCAUAUUUGAUUGCCAGUUUUUUUUUCUUUCCUACCCACCAAUUUCAUAUAUUUGUAACUUAUCCACAAACUGUAUAUUCUCAACACCACACUUCUUUUGUAAUUUUCUCCCUUUCCAUCUUCAUUUUAUCCUUUAACUAACAUCAGUAGAAGUUGUGCUGUUUGUGGGAAGUCUACCUUGCAAAAAUUGGCUGCUGCAUUUCCAACAAACUUACACUACACAAGCACUGCCAAUCAUAAUGUUUAUGAUAUCUUCAGGAGAUCACUCAGAAAUCAUCCCUGUACCACCACUCUACAUCAGCCAUCUAGUUUAGCCUCACUGUCCCCAGCUUUUACCAAAAGAGCACUGCAAAUUCUUCAAGUAUAUUUCCAACAGCCUUUUGCAAGUUCUUACAAAGCCACCACCCUUUCUGACGCUAAUAUAAACAAAUCAAGUGCUGGAGCAUCACAGCUGGAUUGAAAGAGCAUUAUAAUGGGACAUGAAACGUUAACUCUUUCCCUUUCCACAAAUGCUGCAGGAGCUAUCGAGUUUCUCCAGUAUAGCGUCUCCAACAUCGGCAAAUUCGAGAUUGAGGCUGUGCCAGAUUUUGAUCUUUGUGGAUUCUGAGUUGGGUGUUCUGGUCAAGCUGAUGUGAAAGGUCGUAAGAGCACAGGAAAGGACUGACGCACAAGCAGCUAAGAGGAUAACUUGCCCGGUACCACACAGUGCACCUAGCCGUAUGGUCCAAUGCUGCCUGACCUGCUGAACAUUCCACAAAAUUCCACAGAGUUUCAAGAUGAGCUGCAUUUUACUUUUGAAAUUAAAGUUAGUUAUGUGCAAAAUUAUGACUGCAAUUCUGAUGUUACAACAAUGUCUAUUUUUCCAAAGCACUUUAGUAAGUUGUGG